AUUGAACGCUGGCGGCAUGCCUUACACAUGCAAGUCGAACGGCAGCACGGGUGCUUGCACCUGGUGGCGAGUGGCGAACGGGUGAGUAAUACAUCGGAACGUACCUUAUCGUGGGGGAUAACGCAGCGAAAGCUGUGCUAAUACCGCAUAUGCCUUGAGGGGGAAAGCGGGGGAUUGCAAGACCUCGCGCGAUUAGAGCGGCCGAUGCCUGAUUAGCUUGUUGGUGGGGUAAAAGCCCACCAAGGCGACGAUCAGUAGCUGGUCUGAGAGGACGAUCAGCCACACUGGGACUGAGACACGGCCCAGACUCCUACGGGAGGCAGCAGUGGGGAAUUUUGGACAAUGGGGGCAACCCUGAUCCAGCAAUGCCGCGUGAGUGAAGAAGGCCUUCGGGUUGUAAAGCUCUUUUGUCAGGGAAGAAACACCGGCUCUAACACAGUCCGGGAAUGACGGUACCUGAAGAAUAAGCACCGGCUAACUACGUGCCAGCCGCCGCAGUAA
rnacentral:rRNA from 1 species